GAGCUAUGCUGGUCAUUAUGUACCCCAGCUAGCUGAGCUCAUCCAUGAUAGAAACAAAGAAGCCACCAAAGACUCUCAUAUAAACCUCAAGGGCUUCAUGAUUGGAAAUGCUGUGAUUCAUGAUGAAACGGAUUUAUCCGGCAUUGUGGACUACGCAUGGAGUCAUGCGAUCAUAUCAGACCAUCUCUAUCACAACGUAAAGGAAUGUGCUUUUAAGCAAACAGUUGAUGCUGCUGCUGCAAGCAAUUGCUCUGCCCAUUUCAAAGGAUUCAUGGAUGCCUAUUCUGGGAUCGAUAUUUAUAGCAUCUACACUCCGGUUUGCCUCACUUCUUCUCAAUCCUCUAGGAAACUCGUCUUCGGGCCUCGUCCCCUAGCAAUACAUGACCUCUGGCACAUGCUGCCAUCAGGCUACGAUCCAUGUACUGAAGGCUAUGCUGAAAAAUUUUUCAACAGAGAAGAUGUGCAGAGCGCCCUUCAUGCCAAUGUCACCAAAUUGUCCUAUCCUUACACUCCAUGCAGCCGUGUGAUUGAGAGGUGGAAUGACUCGGCGGAUACAAUAUUGCCAAGCAUUCGCAAGCUCAUGAAUGCCGGAUUGCGCAUCUGGGUCUACAGUGGGGACACAGAUGGGAGAGUGCCGGUGACAUCAACAAGGUACAGCAUCAACAAAAUGAGGUUAAAAAUAAAGGAAGAAUGGAGGGCGUGGUUUCAUAAAACUCAAGUGGCAGGUUGGGUGGAGACAUAUGAAGGUGGCCUCAUAUUGGCCACUGUGAGAGGUGCUGGCCAUCAGGUCCCUGUCAUUGCACCUCAACAGUCUCUCUCUCUCUUUUCCCAUUUCCUCUCUGGCAAGACCUUGCCCAGUUUUUAGCUCACCGGCAAUUAUUAUAUAUUCAAUGUUUUCCAGACCAAAUUAAAUAUUAUUAUUUCAAUGUAGACAUUUUGGAUUAUUGCAUGGUAGAGAUCAAUAUGAUAUCAGAUAGUAUAAUUG
rnacentral:misc_RNA from 1 species